AGCUAUUUCAAUCAAACUUAUAACAACAUUUUAACAGGUCACGUUACAUUUUAACAUAGGACCCCUUAUUUGAUAGAACCUUCACAAGUCUUGCAUCCAUUGAACUUGUGAGUUUUUGGACAGUUUCUGCUUGAAUUUGUUUGCAAGAUGUCAGAAUAGCCUCCCAGAGCUGCUGUUUGGAUGUAAACUGCCUCCCACCCUCAUAAAUCUUUUGCUUGAGGAUGCUCCAAAGGUUCUCAAUAAGAUUGAGGUCAGGGGAAGAUGGAGGCCACACCAUG